GCUAUACAUGCAAGUCGAACGCACAGCGAAAGGUGCUUGCACCUUUCAAGUGAGUGGCGAACGGGUGAGUAACACGUGGAUAACCUGCCUCAAGGUUGGGGAUAACAUUUGGAAACAGAUGCUAAUACCGAAUAAAACUUCGUAUCGCAUGAUACCAGGUUAAAAGGCGCUACGGCGUCACCUAGAGAUGGAUCCGCGGUGCAUUAGUUAGUUGGUGGGGUAAAGGCCUACCAAGACAAUGAUGCAUAGCCGAGUUGAGAGACUGAUCGGCCACAUUGGGACUGAGACACGGCCCAAACUCCUACGGGAGGCUGCAGUAGGGAAUCUUCCACAAUGGGCGAAAGCCUGAUGGAGCAACGCCGCGUGUGUGAUGAAGGCUUUCGGGUCGUAAAGCACUGUUGUAUGGGAAGAACAGCUAGAGUAGGGAAUGACUUUAGUUUGACGGUACCAUACCAGAAAGGGACGGCUAAAUACGUGCCAGCAGCCGCGGUAAUACGUAUGUCCCGAGCGUUAUCCGGAUUUAUUGGGCGUAAAGCGAGCGCAGACGGUUGAUUAAGUCUGAUGUGAAAGCCCGGAGCUCAACUCCGGAAAGGCAUUGGAAACUGGUCAACUUGAGUGCAGUAGAGGUAAGUGGAACUCCAUGUGUAGCGGUGGAAUGCGUAGAUAUAUGGAAGAACACCAGCGGCGAAAGCGGCUUACUGGACUGUAACUGACGUUGAGGCUCGAAAGUGUGGGUAGCAAACAGGAUUAGAUACCCUGGUAGUCCACACCGUAAACGAUGAACACUAGUGUUAGAGGUUUCCGCCUCUUAGUGCCGAAGCUAACGCAUUAAGUGUUCCGCCUGGGAGUACGACCGCAAGUUGAAACUCAAAGAUUGACGGGGACCCGCACAGCGUGAGCAUGUGUUUAUCGAGCACGCGAGACUACAGUCUGACAUCUUUGA
rnacentral:rRNA from 1 species